rnacentral:rRNA from 1 species
CACGUAGGGCGCAAGCGUUGUCCGGAAUUAUUGGGCGUAAAGAGCUUGUAGGCGGUUUGUCGCGUCUGCUGUGAAAAUCCGGGGCUCAACCCCGGACUUGCAGUGGGUACGGGCAGACUAGAGUGUGGUAGGGGAGACUGGAAUUCCUGGUGUAGCGGUGGAAUGCGCAGAUAUCAGGAAGAACACCGGUGGCGAAGGCGGGUCUCUGGGCCGAUACUGACACUGAGGAGCGAAAGCGUGGGGAGCGAACAGG